UACGGAGGGUGCGAGCGUUGUCCGGAAUUAUUGGGCGUAAAGAGCUCGUAGGCGGUCUGUCACGUCGGCUGUGAAAUCCCGAGGCUCAACCUCGGGUCUGCAGUCGAUACGGGCAAACUAGAGUAUUGCAGGGGAGACUGGAAUUCCUGGUGUAGCGGUGAAAUGCGCAGAUAUCAGGAGGAACACCAAUGGCGAAGGCAGCACUCUGGGACGGUACUGACGCUGAGACGCGAAAGCGUGGGGAGCAAACAGG
rnacentral:rRNA from 1 species